GGAACAAGCUAACAUCAUGUGACUCCCUGUGUACAUGCGCAGUUUAUCCUCAAACCUCGAAGAAACAAGACCCUGUGAUAAACUGACAAAAAUCUGAUGUUGAGGCUGAAAACAGGAGAGUUGCCACAUGCAUAGUGCUCAACAGCAUCUCUGGUGCUCAACAGCUGACGACGGCAGGUUGAUUCUUCAGUUAAGUCAUGGAAAACAUGUGGAAGCAACUUCAGGUCUCACCUUGUGCCUUGAUAGUCCGGUCUACGCAAGAAAGCCAAUGGUCAACUGCAAAACAUACAGAAUGCUGCAGCACGGUUACGGACCAAGACCAGACGAAGAGCACACAUUAUACUGGUUUUAAGGUCUCUGCAAUGGCUGAUUUGGGGGCACCGUCUACUGAAAGAGUGUAAAUAUUAUGUAACUGUUAUAAGAAAAUUGCAUAAAUGUUAAAACUCCAACCCAAAAAACAGUGUGUCAGUUACUUCAGCGAACUGUAGCCUGGUGAAGCUACUGUAUAUAAGGUGUGUCUACUUCUAAAAGAUGUCUGUCACGCCCAGAUCUGUUUCACCUGUCUUUGUGCUUGUCUCCGCCCCCACUCCAGGUGUCGCCCAUCUUCCCCAUUAUCCCCUGUGUAUACCUGAGUUCUGUUGCCAGUUCGUCUUGUCUUACCAACGUGCUUUCCCGUCUUCCUGUUUCUCAAGAUCCGUCUCCUAGUUUUUCCCGGCUCUGACCAUUCUGCCUGCCAUCCUGUACCUGCCUAACUCUGACCUGAUUACAAACCUCUGCCUGCCCUGACCCCGAGCCUGCCUGCUGUCCUGUACCUGCCUGACUCUGACCUGAUCACGAACCUCUGCCUGCCCUGACCCCGAGCCUGCCUGCUGUCCUGUACCUGCCUGACUCUGAUCACGAACCUCUGCUUGUCCUCAACCUGCCCUUUGCAUGCCCUGCGUUUCUAAUAAAUAA